AACAAUCGAAAGUGAAAGUGGAUAACAGCAUAAACCUUUGACAACUCUCUUUUUCCCAUUUCCAAAACGCACCGUUUCAUUCAACGGGAACUUCCAUGAAAAACCCACCACCACGUUCCGCCGGAGUCUCGCCGGAGACCGACGACAUCAAAUGGGAAAUGCGGCAAGUAUGAGCUUUAUCUCCCAGAUCAAUCAACUUUAUGUGAGUCUCUUUUUCCUUCAAUUCAAUGUGUAUGUUGGUUAUUGAGUGAAUUUGAAACAUGGGUUAUGGUUUAAUUUUAUUGUUGUUGGAUUUGAAUUUUAGGUCUUUUGUGAUGCUGUGUGUGCUAAUUAGAAUAGUAAAGUUUUGAAAUUUAUGUAAUUGGGUGCUUUAUUAACGGUGAAUUUGAGCUUAAUUAAGCGCUUACUCAAUAAAAGAAGUUGAAAUGAGUUAAAAGUAA
rnacentral:lncRNA from 1 species